GUGCAUGGGGCCGCCCUGGAAACGGGGUGCUCCGCGUUCGCCCGGGGACUGGCAGUGGGAGGAGAGGGGACGGUGACAUUCCGGGAGCGGGCACUGCCGCGUGACUGUCUGUUGCAAUUUCUGAGCAGUUUUGUCCGGAAGACUGUGCUCAGGUUAUGACGACUAAUCCCAAACCGAACAAGGCAUUAAAGGUAAAGGAGGAGUCAGGAGAGAAUGCCCCAGUGCUGAGUGAUGAUGAACUCGUGUCAAUGUCCGUACGGGAGCUGAACCAGCACCUGAGGGGUCUCACCAAGGAGGAGGUCAUCCGUCUGAAGCAGCGGAGGCGCACGCUGAAGAACCGGGGCUACGCUGCCAGCUGCCGCAUCAAGCGUGUGACUCAGAAAGAGGAGCUCGAGAGGCAGCGGGUUGAGCUGCAGCAAGAGGUGGAGAAGCUGGCCAGAGAAAACAGCAGCAUGAAGCUAGAGCUGGAUGCCUUGCGCUCCAAGUACGAAGCACUCCAGACCUUCGCUCGUACUGUGGCGCGAGGGCCUAUUACCCCGACCAAAGUUGCCACCACCAGUGUCAUCACCAUCGUGAAAUCAGCCGAAAUCUCAUCCAGUUCUGUGCCGUUUUCAGCAGCCUCCUAGUGCCCUCGGUGGGGGGAACUAGCAGCCUUUCAGAGGGGAGGGGAUAAGGCUCUUAUGCAUUGUUCCGGAGUCCUUGGUCACGUCAAGAAUUGGCAUUUUAAGAAGUCUCUUCCAAAAGUGCAAAAAACAGAAGAAAAUAAAAAAAGAAAAGAGAAAAACAAACAAACCCAAAGGGUUCCUACAAAGGGAACUUAACUGGCUGCUUCUGUCUGGACUCAGUGGCUCCAUCAACCUCUCAUGUUCAGGAUUUGAGCUCUGUACGCAGUACAAAUUGCAAGAUCUGCUUCCUCCUUCCCUCUGCCUCCACAAACCCCUCUCAGCUGUGGGCAGCUUUCCAGCUGGGAGAAGAUACCUGAGGAGCCUCCAGAGUCUUCAUGAAUGAUGCUCAAGAGCCAGGAAACAUACGGACCGUAGAAAUCAUCAUGUGAGAUGAAUGUAUGGGAAAAAGAGUUUCCUUUAGUGGCCUCCUACUCCUUGUAAGAAGGGUCUCCCCUACCUCCCCCACUUCCAUCUGAUAUUGUGAGGGCAGGAACAUAGGCUUUUUGGGUUUGAUUUAAUCCUUCUAAGAGUGGAUGGGAGUGGGAGGAUGAUGGAGAUAAAUGCUUGGGUCUGACCACACCCAUUAAGAAUAACCUUUUGUUUUCAAUCCAUGCUGUUAAAAUAUGGAAAAAUAUAUAUUUUACAUAUUUUAAUAUGCCCCAUUACCUGUGUGGCCUGUAAAAAAACUACAUUGCAGCCUCCUUUAUUCCAAGCCCAAGUUUCCUGAUAGCUCCUUCCCAAAGGUGUGCCUGUGAAUUUGGUAUAUUUAUGCAGUUUAUUUCUUCCAAAUGAUCCGCAGUCUUGAAGUAGCAGCUUUUUUUUCCUGGGUUACCUGAAGCUGAAGGGAGAGAGGCACAGUAAAUGCUGUGAAGAGCAGUGUGAUGGGGAGGAGAAGGGGAGAUGAGGAGGAAAAAUGCUGCACAUAUUACUGGUGGAGGCGGAAUUGGCUGUGAGAGAAGGUGGGACAGUUCUGCUGGGAUCAGCACUACGAGAAGGGGUUUUGCAGAGUGUUUUGGAAGGAUGUUUUUAAAGCACUGAAGUGUAACUAGAGGGCAAUAGCAUUCAGCUAGGAGGAGAGAAGUUUAGAGUCUCGUCUUUGACAAAAGCAUAGGUAUGUUAGCAAUGAGCAUCCUUAGCUGGAGAGCUGUGCUCACCAGUCCUUGGUGAUCAGAGAAGGGCUAUGGGGAGGUCAGAUGGGAGCUUGGAAGAGUCUUUCCCUCUCCAUAGCACAUCAGAUGCUGAAUUUGGGAUCCAAAGAGUACAGUGAACAACCCUCAGUGUUCAGACAACCUGUGUGAAUGUGACCCUGAAACUUGAUGCUUUCUCUUGCUAGUGGGUGAGUUAUCCCGAGAGGCACACAGAGGGCAGGAUGGAAAAUCAAUGUGUGUGAAGGGGACAGGAGAAUUGGGAUCGAGAAGUUGUUUGUUUGGCUCUGAGCAGUGGUUCAGGAGAGGGAUUUCUGGCUUGGCAGCAGGCAGGAUUUGGGAAGCUGAAAAAGAGACAUUCUGCUGUCACACAGCAGUGAUGAAACGAUGAAUGUUUCCAGGUCACUGUAAAAAAAAAAAAAAUAGCUAUGUUGGUGUUUGUGUGUUUUGUUGUUGUUUUUUUUUCUUCUUGAAGUAGGAAAAAAAAGGGACUGUGUGUUUUGUAGGGCAGGUCAGAGACUUGUGGAAUGGACGAUGCCUGUUGUCAUGCAGGUGAGAAGAGAAUGAGAUUGUUGAGGCUUAAGUUGAGGAGAAGAGCUUAGAGGAUUUGGGCUCCAGAACAGAAAACAAAGAUCACGGAGAAUUCAUAAGUGGUUUUGACUGAAAGAGAAUAAUCAAGUGCUACCGUUGUUGGAAAGAGGACAGUGAACUGGCAUCUGACACCCAGUAUAAUUUGUUGUUUGAGGCUUUGUCUUGCCUUGAAUGGCAGUAAGUUGGUAGAAACUUAGUGAAGCCCUACUUGUCUUUGGAAGAAGUUGUUAGCUUGCUUUUUCUUUUUUUUUUUUCACCUUGUCAUCGGAGUCUCUGGAUUUCCCAAGAGGAUCCUUUGUGAAAUAGGUUAAUGAAAAGAGAAACCUCAGACUUGGUUCUCAUUCAGUCCCCAACAUCGACAUCCGUGACCUUACUGAGCCAGAAAGGGUGUCAGUGAAAUGCUUCCUGAAGGCUCGUUCCCCCUGCCAGAUCCACGUGUUUUGGAAGGGAGCAGGGAGUUUCCUUCAAGUGAUUUUCCAACAAGUAGAGUUUGGAUGACACUUAGUGUUACCUCAUUUCUCCUCCAUUCCCUCCCUAUCUCCAAACAGGCAGAUCGAUGUCCUGUGUAUCAGUACCAGUUAUUGACUCCCACAGCAGAAGCUGAGGAAGAGAAAGAUGUUAUGGUCAUUUCCUGGUCCUCUCAUGUUCUCCAGCUCACAGACAUUGGACACUUUCCCAGACCUUACAGGUGCCUCCAAAAACAGGCAAAAUGGAGACUCCUGGCACUGUUGGGGCUUUAAAUGAAAACUUUAAUGAAAAAGGCCAGUUGACUUGAAAAUGCCCAAAUGCUUCCAGUCUUUAAAACAGCUCCAGAGCUCCGUAACAUUCCUGGCUAGAUAGGAACACCCUCUGGCUGCCCUUGACACCCCUCCGGGGAAAUCAGACCUGUCUCACUGAAGGGGACGGAGGUCGAACUUUGUUCCUGGGGUCUUCUUGCUGUUGGAAUGAGUUGAGAAACAUAUCUUUAUGUGGCACUUCCCUUGUGGCCAAGUAUUUCUUUUUUUUCCAGUUCUUGGAAGGGUGCCAAAGGCUUGUCCAAGUGAUUGCUAGUUUAGUGCUGGUAGGCACUUAAAUCUCUGGUCACUCGAUAAAGAACAAGAGGCCUGGGUGUUGUUAAAGCUGUUGAUACCAUAGCCAUGGUAGGUAAUCCAUAUUGGAUAUCCAUAAGGACCACGUGGAAAUAUUUAAAGAGAGAGAAAUAUAUAUAUAAAUAUAUAAUUAUAUACAUUUUAUCGUACAGAUUUUUCGUAAAAAAGAAAAAAAAUAAUUUUUUUUCCAAGUUUGAUACUGUAAAUCUUUAUUAAAAGAAAUUGCCAGUCCAGGGCUCCCUGGGUGGUGACCUGGAGGGGAAUGAAAUGUCCUGGCUAAACUUCCACAGAGGGAUCAGAAUUGCAAGGUAACGUGGAGGGAGGAAUGACCCGAAAGCUGUUGAUCGCGUUGGAGACCCAGCUCCUCCACCCUCCUCCCUGGAGGGCCCUCCAGCUUGGGGUUGUCGCGUUGCAUUCCUCUGGGGUUCGGUUUGUUUCUGUUGUGUUUUAUUGUUUUGUUUUGUUUUUUUUCUCUCCGUCCUGCACUUGCCAGCCUGACACCCAGGGCGAGCGCGGCGUGGGGAGUGGGUGGCGAGGGACGCGUCCCCGCAGCCGCGCCGCCCGCGCAUCUCUGCUGCAGUACUUCGGAUGCUGGGGCUCCCUUCUCUGCCCCUCUUAGUUUGUCCCCCUGACCCUGCUGAGGAGGAGCAGGGGCUCUGAUUUUUGGGUGCUGGGAUCCUCUCCCCUGGGCCUGGCCUUUCUUUGGUUGCUCCCCAUCCUCAGUGAGACGUGGGAACCGAGGGCUGGGCGGGAGGCAGGAGAAGAAAGCGUCGCGCAGGGACUGGGAAGGGACACCUCUGUUCUCGUAGAUGUGUUUGCUGUGCUCUCUGUCGGGAGUGGGGAACCUUGCCCUCCAGGGCAGCUCCAGAUCCCUUGGAAACAAGGCAGCGUCUCUGCUCCUGCCCAACUCUAGCGUCUGCCGGGAGGAGACCGCAAAGUGCAGAGACCUGGGUGCCACGGCAGCUCCGGGACGGCGGGGAGGGACGAGGCGAGCUGUGCCACGGGAUGGCUCAGACCCGGGGAGGAGGAGAAGACUUGCCCUGGUCUAUGGUCAGCGUUUUGGAGCCUGAACUGAUCUUCAGUGGAGUGUUUUCCUCGGGUUUUUUUGCUGCCUGUCCCCAGUGCAGCACCCGGCUGGCUGUGGCGCUGCGGUGAGCGAUGUGUUUUUUGGAGGCAGGCUGGGCUAAGGCGAGUGGGAUGGCAGCUUGGGCUUUUGCAAUCAUCUGACCCAGCCUCCUGGAGCCCAUCUCAGCCUUGCUGUGGUGCUUUCUUGGGACGCUUGGAAUGCGCUCCAGGGAUAGCUCUUGUCCGAGCUGCUUGUCAGGUCGAUGCCGUGCUCAGACCGCGUGUGUUCCUAACCCAGGGGCUCUGUCUUUGUGCACAACCAGUGGUGUCUGUGUUAGCACAAACAGGACUGACAGCUCAGCAGGCACCUGCCUGCAGUCGUGAUGCUGAGCAAAGCCAGUUGUGGCUCAGAGACACUGUGACCUGUCUUGAAGCGCUGGAGAGAAACACUCCUCUCUCUUCUUUGGGUUGUGAAAUAUUCCUUCACGGUUCCCCUGUGUGACUGCUUGUGAAUAAACUGCUUUAACCCCUUA